AAAGUCCCAUCUAACUGCAUGUGAUGGAGGAACAAAUGGACAUCACCCAGAAAGAUGAACUUCGAAUUGCAUGUAUCAGCUGGAUGGAACUUUGGCUUGUCUCCCUGGUGGAGAGCUAAGUAUAUUUUGUGAGGGAAGAAGGAAACAAAGAAAUGUUUAGUGAUGAGAAGGGUGGAUUGUAGCAGACUUAGGAAAUGAUGGUCAAAGAUUGCUCACUUAUGUUUCUCAGGCUCUCUCUGCAGGGGGAUUGGGCACAUGAUUAGUGGACAUGGCCCUUUCUCACAGGAGCCAUUCUCACUUUUUUCACAUGGCUUCUUAUUUAGUGACUUACUUCAGGCAAUAUUACCUAAUUGGCCUCUCCAUUCCAGUGCAUACUUUGCUUGGAGCUUGCAUUAGUCCUCUUCUCUAUCAACAGAUACUGCUUUGUUCUUCUUGUGAUAAUGUUGUUCAACAUUUAGGGAAAAAGCUUAGUUUACAUAUAUCCAACAUUGGGCAGGCUUCGCCCCAAACGUGGAAACAGACUGUUGUUUUCAUGUCCUUGACAUUUUUGGAAUCAGCGAGAAAUGCUACAUAUGAAUGUGAGAGAUUUCAUUACCUCCGAGCACUGUCUAUUUUAAGCCCUCACCAUAUUUAUCAAGUGGAAAACUUGGUCUCAGUGAGCCUUGCAGAGAAUGUGAUUGGCUAUAAUCACCAGUUUUUAGUUUUGAAUCACUUCUCCAAAGGGUUACCCUAAGGAUUUCAGAAAUUUUUAUUUCUUGGCCUCAAAAGAUGACUCAUUCAACCAGAAUCUUUCCUUGAGUAAAAAAGUCACAGGAGAGACUAUUGCUGAUGUGGUGGCCAAAAGGAAGACCCUUAUCCAAGUAAUUGCUUCCUGACCUCCAGGCCUGGAGCUCUAAUUCUAUUGACAUCUCUGGCUGUCAAGAAUACCAGCAGCAUUGCUAAUGCAAUUGGUCUUAUCUUAAGAUGUACAUUCCUUUCCCCUAAACUGCCUUCCAUAGACACACACGUAAGAUUGUCUGUUUAUGGAUUGUAGCAGAUGGGACUAGUAGUUUGUCUUCCUCUGAUCUCCUAAUUCCUAUGAGCUACCAAGUUUACUCUUUGCCUAGCUGCUUAGAGAAGUCAAUUUUGUGUCUCCGAAGAUCAGAAUUAGGAGUUCCGGUGACCAGAGCACGUUUAAGGGGCAGAGCUGAUGGCCUAAGGUGGAGACUCCCUGUGACCAUGAGGUUUCUCAUGUGAUUUAGGGUGUUAGGGAUUUCCUCACUGGGGUAACUGAGCAUACCCCUAAUGUCUGUCCCUCUCAUGCUGCCCCCAGGGGAUGAGACUUAUGACUCCUGGUGGAGCCAUUGGGUGGAGGAGAGAAGGGGUGACCUUUGGGCAUAGCUAACUUAGAUUCUCCAGACAUGGGCUGUAUCAUUCUACAUUUACCAUGUGGAUGUAAGAAAAAGUCAUUACAGGAGAUUUUCAUCAUCUGAGUUUACCAUGUGUAAGUUUCCUUAGUUUCCAGUGAAAACUACUGUAUCAUAAAACAUCAAUAAAAUUACCUCCUAUAAAGUUAGUGCCCGCUCAACAUUAAUGUCUAUCUCUGCUCAUGGUAUCAGUAUCCAUGUCUGCUGGCUCCUGCUGGGUUUCUGAGGUAGCAAACAUCUUACAAUAAAAUGAAAAUAUAAGGGAAAAUGAUUGCAGGAGGAAAUGGAGAGUUUUGCAAAAGGUGCACUAUUUCAUGAAGUUGAUAACAGUGAUGCUGGAGAGCUCCUCCAGUCACACGUAAACUCAGACAAAUGAGGAUCUGCCAGGGUUAACAAACAAGUCAGGAGGGUUGACAUGUACAGUUCACAUUGUGGACUCUCAAAAGAGAUUCAUUGAAAUAUAAAUUUUUUCCUUGGAAAAAUUUCUGAAGUUCUUGGGUCUAUUUGUGAAAAUGACCUUCCCUAGGCAUAUAUAAAUGACCUUCAGGGCAUAUAUAAAGUGAUAUCAUUUUGCUUUUAGUUUAAUUGAAAAAGAUUUAUGAAAUCCAAACAAAUCAAUCAAUACUUGAUACAUUGUUCGUUCCUUUUAAGAAUUAACAACUAGUUGCAAUUAUGAUGAAUACUUUGUAAAAAUAGUACAAAACAGUUUCAUAAUUUUAGUUUCAUUUCUUUUUCAGGUUCAAGUUAUAAUAGAAGCAUUUGUCCCCCACUACUAAUGAUGUCCUCAUUUUAAGGAAAUUUAAAACCUUUUCAGGAUUGGAUCCCUGUUCCCUUGGCCUGGAAUGUUGGAAAAACUCCUAGUGCUGGUUUUCCAAAAGUACAGAUUAGGAAACCAAGAUGCACAAAGAAUAAAUAACUUACCCAACAUCACACAGCUGGCAAAUGACAGCGCUGCAAUUGAACCCAGACCUCUCUAAUUCUAAAGAAAAUGACUUCUCACUCACUUGUUUCCUGGGAA